UUGGGCGUAAAGCGCGCGUAGGCGGUUUUUUAAGUCUGAUAUGAAAGCCCACGGCUCAACCGUGGAGGGUCAUUGGAAACUGGAAAACUUGAGUGCAGAAGAGGAAAGUGGAAUUCCAUGUGUAGCGGUGAAAUGCGCAGAGAUAUGGAGGAACACCAGUGGCGAAGGCGACUUUCUGGUCUGUAAUUGACGCUGAUGUGCGAAAGCGUGGGGAUCAAACAGGAUUAGAUACCCUGGUAGUCCACGCCGUAAACGAUGAGUGCCAAGUGUUAGGGGGUUUCCGCCCCUUAGUGCUGCAGCUAACGCAUUAAGCACUCCGCCUGGGGAGUACGACCGCAAGGUUGAAACUCAAAGGAAUUGACGGGGACCCGCACAAGCGGUGGAGCAUGUGGUUUGAUUCGAAGCAACGCGAAGAACCUUACCAAAUCUUGACAUCCUUUGACCCUUCUAGAGAUAGAAGUUUCCCCUUCGGGGGACAAAGUGACAGGUGGUGCAUGGUUGUCGUCAGCUCGUGUCGUGAGAUGUUGGGUUAAGUCCCGCAACGAGCGCAACCCUUAAGCUUAGUUGCCAUCAUUAAGUUGGGCACUCUAAGUUGACUGCCGGUGACAAACCGGAGGAAGGUGGGGAUGACGUCAAAUCAUCAUGCCCCUUAUGAUUUGGGCUACACACGUGCUACAAUGGACAAUACAAAGGGCAGCGAAACCGCGAGGUCAAGCAAAUCCCAUAAAGUUGUUCUCAGUUCGGAUUGUAGUCUGCAACUCGACUACAUGAAGCUGGAAUCGCUAGUAAUCGUAGAU
rnacentral:rRNA from 1 species